rnacentral:lncRNA from 1 species
AUAAAAAAAAUUAGAUAUAGUAUUUCCGUUAACAAUUUUCAAUAUCAGAAUAUAGGAUAUGCGUUAAACUCUCCGGAACACUUGCCAAACCCUAAAUGAAUCCCUAAAACCCACUAAAUUAAACUUUUUGCAAGGGAUUUGCAAGGGUUUCAUCGCAAAAGCCUCGCAAUAUUGCAAGGAACUUGCGAGAACACUUCGAAACCCCUGUCUAAACCUCAAACGAAACCUAAAGACAUUAGAACACUUCGAAACCCCUGUCUAAACCUCAAACGAAACCUAAAGACAUUAAAAAAAGAUUUUGCAACGGAUUUGCGAUGAAACACGAUAAGUCUCUCGCAAAACACUUGCAAUUUUGCAAGGGAUAACCGUUGCAAUUCGCUUGCAAAUUGCAAGGAUUUUGUGACGGAAAUUAGGUUAAUAUAUAAACACACUUAACCUUUCCUCUCCAUUUCACUCUGAUCCGAUCUCCUCUCUGUCUCCCGCCUCUCCUCUCUUUCUCCCUGUGGUCUCUCCUCUCCGCCUCUCCCUCGCCGUGUCCCGCCCCCCCCCCCCCCCCCGCCUCUCCUUCUUCCCUUGGUCUCUCCCCUCCGCCUCUCCCUUGCCGUGUCCUCUCUCCUCCGCCUCUCCCUCACCGUGUAUUUUCUCUCUCCGCCGCUCCCCGCCUCUCCCCGCCUCUCCUUCUCCCCGUGGUCGCUCCUCCCCGCCUCUCCCUUGCCGUGCCCUCUCUCCUCCGCCUCUCCCGCGCCGUGUACUCUCUCUCUCCGCCUCUCCUUCUCGCCGCUGCCUCGCCGGAUCUUCGCCUCAGCCUUGCCGGAUCUCUCUCCUCACCGUGUAUUUUCUCUCUCCGCCGCUCCCCGCCUCUCCCCGCCUCUCCUUCUCCCC